rnacentral:tRNA from 6 species
GGCCGGAAUAGCUCAGUUGGUAGAGCAGAGGACUGAAAAUCCUCGUGUCAC